CCCGUGCAAGUACCCAGCAUUAAGAAUCGUUCUCUUGCAGAAAAUGCACAACAGGGUUUGUUUUCCACUAUGUGGUACUUCUGUUAAAGCACAUCAUUAAGCUGAAGCACUUGGACUCCAUCUUCAAAGCUGGAUUGAUGGAAAACCUGUAAUGUCAACACCUGGGUAAGUACAGAGAGCUAGCAAAAAAAAUUCCUAGCAGUUCUGAAACACUUAGCACAAGAAGAUGUCAUAUGAGCUAAACAACACCCUGGUAUCAUAACUGCCCAGUGACACUGCUUUCACUGUGAAUAUGCUCUCACAUCACCUUUAGAAAUGUGUCACCUUUAUUUUCAUAAACUUUACAUCACCUUCCAGUUUAACCUCAGGAAAGGCCACUGGUGGUGCUGAUGAUUCAGUUGCAAGAACAAAAUAGAGAUUUCACUGACCUACAUCCGUCAGCCAACCAUCCUCAAGGCUAUGUUACCCUCUCAUAAAAUUGGUGCUGCAUACUCACCUUCCAAUGGAAAACAAAGAGCUACCAGCUUCAUUAGUCAAUGUUGCUACUGACAAUAAAGUGUGCUUUGUGUACUAAGGGUCGGCACUAAGGACAAGACAAACAGAACAACUACUAAAAAUGCCUUUCAAGGCUCUUUCCCUGUCACUGUGAAUGAAAACUCUUUUGUCUCCAAGGAUACUCCACGGUGGGACUGCACAGCCUGAAUCCAGGGAGACGGCCUUUCCCUGACAAAGCUAAUCCUGCCAAUCAGAGGAGAAUUGCUGGCAUAAGAAGGGCCUGGAAGGGCAG